rnacentral:rRNA from 1 species
GGUUUGGCCGAUUGGUCCGUUCUUGUAACGAGUACUGGUCGGUUGGGCCUCACCGCUUGGGGAAGGGUAAUGCCCUUUAUUGGGUGUUGCUCGGAGCCAAGACCUUUACCUUGAAAAAAUUAGAGUGUUUAAAGCAGGCAUAUGCCAGAAUACAUUAGCAUGGAAUAAUAGAAUAGGACAACGAUUCUAUUUUGUUGGUUUCUAGGACCGUUGUAAUGAUUAAUAGGGAUAGUUGGG